rnacentral:rRNA from 1 species
AUCCUGGCUUAGGAUAAACGCUGGCGGCGUGCUUAACACAUGCAAGUCGAACGGAGUGGUUCUCCCGAGGAUUGAUGGUGCUUGCACCUGAUUGACUCAUUUGAAUCACUUAGUGGCGGACGGGUGAGUAACGCGUGGGAAACCUGCCCUAUACUGGGGGAUAGCAGUUGGAAACGACUGAUAAUACCGCAUAAGCGCACAGGAUCGCAUGGUCUAGUGUAGAAAAACUCCGGGUGGUAUAGGAUGGUCCCGCGUCUGAUUAGCUAGUUGGUGAGGUAACGGCCCACCAAGGCGACGAUCAGUAGCCGGCCUGAGAGGGUGUACGGCCACAUUGGGACUGAGACACGGCCCAAACUCCUACGGGAGGCAGCAGUGGGGAAUAUUGGACAAUGGGGGAAACCCUGAUCCAGCCGACGCCGCGUGAACGAUGAAGUAUUUCGGUAUGUAAAGUUCUAUCAGCAGGGAAGAUAAUGACGGUACCUGACUAAGAAGCACCGGCUAAAUACGUGCCAGCAGCUGC